AUUGAACGCUGGCGGCAGGCCUAACACAUGCAAGUCGAACGAGUGGCGGACGGGUGAGUAAUGUCUGGGAAACUGCCUGAUGUAGGGGGAUAACUACUGGAAACGGUAGCUAAUACCGCAUACCAUCAGAUGUGCCCCGAUGGGAUUAGAUAGUAGGUGGGGUAACGGCUCACCUCGGCGACGCUCCCUAGCUGGUCUGAGAGGAUGACCAGCCACACUGGAACUGAGACACGGUCCAGACUCCUACGGGAGGCAGCAGUGGGGAAUAUUGCACAAUGGGCGCAAGCCUGAUGCAGCCAUGCCGCGUGUAUGAAGAAGGCCUUCGGGUUGUAAAGUACUUUCAGCAGGGAGGCGUUACCCGCAGAAGAAGCACCGGCUAACUCCGUGCCAGCAGCCGCGGUAAUUC
rnacentral:rRNA from 1 species